GACGAACGCUGGCGGCGUGCUUAACACAUGCAAGUCGAACGGAAAGGCCCCUUUGGGGGUACUCGAGUGGCGAACGGGUGAGUAACACGUGAGUAACCUGCCCUUGACUUCGGGAUAACUUCAGGAAACUGGGGCUAAUACCGGAUAGGAAUCCUUGCUGCAUGGUGGGGGUUGGAAAGCUUCGGCGGUUUUGGAUGGACUCGCGGCUUAUCAGCUUGUUGGUGGGGUAGUGGCUUACCAAGGCUUUGACGGGUAGCCGGACUGAGAGGGCGACCGGCCACAUUGGGACUGAGAUACGGCCCAGACUCCUACGGGAGGCAGCAGUGGGGAAUAUUGAACAAUGGGCGGAAGCCUGAUGCAGCAACGCCGCGUGCGGGAUGACGGCCUUCGGGUUGUAAACCGAUUUCAGCAGGGGCGAAGCUUGUGGUGACGGUACCUGCAGAAGAAGCACCGGCUAACUACGUG
rnacentral:rRNA from 1 species